AUCUUUUGGUUCGUGAGUGUGAUGAUUGGGCAUUCAUGCCUUAUACAUGAGCUGUGCCUCCCUCAAACCUUGUUAUGACAUGGGCUCGUCACCUGUUCGAUG